AUAUUUGGUUGUUGUUGUUUUGUGUUUUUUUUUUUUUGCACGUUCCAAAAGUUACUUUCAGCGGAAGGGUCAUACUAGGAAGAAGUCACUAAUGUGAGGGUGUCCAUACCUGAUCUCGCCCCGGAUGAGUCCAGGAAUGGGAGCAUCAUUCGUUUGCGAGGGGAGAGGAAUCGGCUCUAAGUAAUUCAGAGACAAAACUCCACCUCCCGGCAUGCACCGGUUCAAUGGCGCUUUCGCGGGAACGUGCUCGCGCUGCAUCCUGGGAGGCGUAGUCUCUGGGCGGUCGGGAGAUGAGGCUUGGCUCCCCUGUGCUCCUGCUGCAGAACCUAAGGAGUGAUGCUGGUUCUCAAGGAAGACUGGAUGACUAAAGUGUUGGGAAUAAGCAUAAGAUUUCAUCACCUCCUUGACAACACUCAAGAUGUAUUACCUUAAUAGGAUCUAAGCUAAACUGAGUAACCAAUCUUGUGGAAGAGUGUAAGCAUUUAAUAUCUUGGCUCAAAUGGAUUUUGCAAG